UAAGAAGGACUAUAGGCACCCUGCA
rnacentral:piRNA from 1 species